rnacentral:tRNA from 1 species
GGCCAUCUGGCCGAGUGGUUAAGGCGGUGGAUUCGAAAUCCGCUGGGAAAUUCUCGCGCAGGUUCGAAUCCUGCGGUGGUCG